rnacentral:snoRNA from 1 species
AUUCCAUGAUGGGGACAUUCUAGGAUGUAGUCUUGGAAGCGCUCCCAUGCUUCUGGAAAGUGUUGGAGAUGAGCAC